rnacentral:ncRNA from 1 species
GGAGGAAGGCCCUCCGAGAUGGGUUUGCAGGAACUGGUUUCAAAUCGUCGUAUGCUGCUACAUUAAAGAGGUGUGGUAGUGAGCGAUACGGAAAAGGCAAGUUAAACUGUCAGA